rnacentral:rRNA from 1 species
UCUACGGCAUCCUCGCCGGUCUCUUCGUCACUUCCAUCGACGAUUGUGGGUUGGUGAGAUGUUUGCGCCUCACUUGGUGUGGGCUCGGGCAGUGUUUCUUUAUUUCCCUUCUACUGCUUCUUCCCUUUCUUGUUCUUCUUUCCUCCAUCCGUGCGGACGUUGGUGGUGCUAGCGCCGAUAACGUCUCAUCCGUUCGUCAUUCUCUUACGAUCAACCUGCUCUGAUACCACUUUAUCACGGACUUAGAGUAUUCGCUAAGACUCCGUGCGGCACUUGACAACUUACUCACGAUUCUUUCACGAUCUCGUAAGCUCAAUAAGCCUUUACUAUUCGGAAUGCUAAGAGAAUAAGAAGAAAGACAAAGACAGGACUUUCGAAGAGAGGACUUUUAUUUUAUUAUUCAGUUGAUGGAUGAUUUACAAAUACAUGACCCUCCCAUUUAUUCUACUCCCUAAGCCUAAGAGUAAAUAAAUGUUGCUAUACAAGUCCCUAAGUACAUGCACUCUAAUACAUGUUCUACAUUCCUAGAAUAUGUCUCUAAUUCUUCCAAAAGGCUCCUAGAAUUCUCUAGUUUGCCCCAAGAUUCUAAAAGGCUUUAGAGUCUUGCACAAGCCUCUCCAAGGCUGUUGGGCCGCCGGCCCCGUUUGUAUGUUGCAAACUGGCUGGAAAGAUGGCGGGACGUCACACUAUGCUCUGUAUACAUUAGCAUGGGAUAACAUUAUAGGAUUUCGGUCCUAUUACGUUGGCCUUCCGGAUCGGAGUAAUGAUUAACAAGGACAGUCGGGGGCAUUCGUAUUUCAUAGUCAGAGGUGAAAUUCAUGGAUUUAUGAAAGACGAACAACUGCGACAGCAUUUGCCAAGGAUGUUUUCAUUAAUCAAGAACGAAAGUUGGGGGCUCGAAGACGAUCAGAUACCGUCCUAGUCUCAACCAUAAACGAUGCCGACCAGGGAUCGGCGGUUGUUGCUUUUAGGACUCCGCCGGCACCUUAUGAGAAAUCAAAGUUUUUGGGUUCCGGGGGGAGUAUGGUCGCAAGGCUGAAACUUAAAGGAAUUGACGGAAGGGCACCACCAGGAGUGUAGCCUGCAGCUUAAUUUGAAUCAACACGGGGAAACUUAGCAGGUCCAGACAUAGUAAGGAUUGACAGACUGAGAGCUCUUUCUUGAUUCUAUGGGUGGUGGUGCAUGGCCGUUCUUAGUUGGUGGAGCGAUUUUUCUGGUUAAUUCCGUUAACGAACGAGACCUCAUCCUGCUAACUAGCUAUGCGGAGGUAUCACUUCGCGGCCAGCUUCUUAGAGGGACUACGGCCUUUUAGGCCGCAAAAAUUUGAGGCAAUAAAAGGUCUGUAAUGCCCUUAGAUGUUCAGGGCCGCACGCGCGCUACAAUGAUGUAUUCAACGAGCUUAUAGCCUUGGCCGACAAGCGCGGGUAAUCUUUGAAAUUUCAUCGUGAUGGGGAUAGAUCAUUGCAAUUGUUGAUCUUCAACGAGGAAUUCCUAGUAAGCGCGAGUCAUCAGCUCGCGUUGACUACGUCCCUUCCCUUUGUACACACCGUCCGUCGCUCCUACCGAUUGAAUGAUCCAGUAAAUGUUCGGAUCGCAGCGAUGUGGGCGGUUUGCUGCCCGCGACGUCGCGAGAAGUCCAUUGAACCUUAUCAUUUAGAGGAAGGAGAAGUCGUUACAAGGUUUCCGUAGGUGAACCUGCGGAAG